CUUGCAUGGGAGAAGUUUUCUGUUUUCACUCAGAACAGAUGUCAUGAGGAGCUAGAGAAGUUCAGGGAACCUGGAUUAGUUGCAAAGAAGAAGGCAUACUUUGAAGAAUAUUAUAGCAAGAUCAGAGCUAUGAGGGCAUUGAAAGCAAAGCAGCAAGAAAAAACUCAGACUGGUAUUUUUCAAGAAGGACUGUGCAACGCAACAAAAGAAGAAAACAAUAUGGAGGCUGAUGCAUUGAGUGAGGAAAACAUGCCUGACAAUGCCAAUAAAAUUCAGGUCCAAGACAAUGAUA
rnacentral:misc_RNA from 1 species